rnacentral:rRNA from 1 species
GUCCACGCCGUAAACGAUGUCAACUAGCCGUUGGGUUCCUUGAGAACUUAGUGGCGCAGCUAACGCAUUAAGUUGACCGCCUGGGGAGUACGGCCGCAAGGUUAAAACUCAAAUGAAUUGACGGGGCCCGCACAAGCGGUGGGCAUGUGGUUUAAUUCGAAGCAACGCGAAGAACCUUACCUGGCCUUGACAUGCUGAGAACUUUCCAGAGAUGGAUUGGUGCCUUCGGGAGCUCAGACACAGGUGCUGCAUGGCUGUCGU